UACUUAAAAGUGUAUAAGGGCACGAAGAUUUUUGAUAUCUUAGGGGAUAGUUGAAGUCUAUUAUAAGUAA
rnacentral:tRNA from 1 species